GACUCGGACUUAUGCGGUUUCGACGCUCAAACUUUGUCAGGACCGGAAGGUAGCAGCAAUACGGGAUGCUUGAAAUGGGCGUAAGAUUCGGGUCUUUA
rfam:Cyanobacterium stanieri PCC 7202, complete genome.